UAAUUGUAAUUUAGAUGCUUACUCAUUUUGCUCCCGCAAUAAUCUUAUCGCUUUAGCUGUUGGCAAAAGAGAUUAUUACUUUCAUUUUCCUUCUUUGGACUUUUCUAGGGAGAAAUUUUGGUCUUUCUAAUUCUCUAUUUUGGUCAGAAAUCAUUUGGGCCUAUUUGGUCCAAGGUUUUAAACAAAACCUACACACACACACUAUUGAAAACUGUGACAAGAGAGCUCUGAGAUCUCUGAAGACAUUGAUUUAAACAACUGUAAUAUCGCAUAUAACAGUCAGCUGCUACAACCCCUUUUCGGAUAAUCCCAACUCAUUUGUCAUUAGCAUCACUCCGAUCCAUAUGCACUUGAAACAUUUUCAUGAGUAAGAUACAUGGGCAAACAUAGCCACUUCAAUGGAAAUUCCUCAUGUUCAAGUCUUGCAAACAAAAAGAUGGGACACCUUUUUACCAGGAAGAACCAAGAAAACUCAUUUACUGGACCUUUUUCACUUUGCUGAAAGGCUAGGUUUAUCAGACCAGAUAAAUACUGAAACAUCACAAAGUUAAAUUACAUUCUGAGCACAGAUCGGUAGUCCCUAAUACAUUCGAAUCUGUACAAACAAGUUCAUACCAUGAUUGUGCUCCCUCUAUCCCAUAUGUGCGCGCGCACGUGUAUACACAUGUGGCUGUAGUUAUUGCAAUUAACAUUACUUAUUCCAACUUGGCAUCCAUCAGGUUACAAGAAUUACCUUUUUCUUUUUCACCGGUUUAAGGAUUUUGAUGAUGCAUCUUUCAUUGUUUGUAACAUUUAUACCUUCAAAAACCUCACUGUAUUUUCCCCUUCCUACUUUCCGGACAACCUCGUAGUCAUCUUGGUCACUGGAAACAAAACAAACAAAAAAGAAAACAAAGACAUCAUACCUUAAGAAACAUGCUUACACAACGUUUAAACGAAAGAAACGUUUCUUAAAUUGGAGAGAAUGACAGAAAAUUUUCUUUCAUUUGUUCAUUUUCUCCAUCAUCCAGCUUUAACUUCUAUUCAAUUUUUCCUCUUCUGGUGGCAUAGAGGGUGAGAAUACAUAUGAAGCACAGAAGCAAAUUGGCACACGAGUCAAAAACUAGAUUCCUGUUAGGUUCUCGGCAACAAUUUUCACAACGCCUGCAUUCAAUUAUCCUCCCUCCCAUCCUCUUGAAAAAUAAAACUGUUUCUUCCUCCCUAGAAUGUACAAAGUAUUGAUACAAGCGACGAACAUGAGGCCUGGCCAGUCUAUACAUGACCACCAAUAUAAGUCCCCUAAUUUCUAAGAACGCAAAUGCAACAAUCUCAAAACAGACCAUAUGAUGACGACAACGGACUCUUACCACAGCCACCAUACAUAGUUUACCCUAUCAUCUUAAAAAUAAGUUCUAUAGCACAAAACUCCAAGGUAUUUCUAUAGUCAAAUACAGAUUGCAUAAAAGAUCCCCUACAGACCUAAUCCAAGUGUAUUGAACCCAAGGAUUGAGUGCAAUCUGAAAUUUAAGUCGACACUCCGACAAAAAUAUGAGCAAGAAUGGGAUAUUUCUAAAAAGGUUUUUCUUCAAUAAAUUUCAGACACAGUAUACACUCAAAAUUAGGCGCAGGUAUGCAUAAUUUGAACAGUAAUGUAGCCAAUAACUGAACUCCGCAACAAAAAUCUAAUCAUACCUGGUUACAUAAUUGUUCCACCAAUUUCAUAAAAGUUGGAUUAUUUGCGGAUAAAAUGUGGUUACAAAAUAAGUUAAACAUUGAAAAGUUAACUACAAAAAGUUAGCCAAUUAUUCCGCCAAGUUAAUCCAAAAAACAGUUAUAUAAAACCUAGAUAUCCACUAAUACGAUAUGAAAUACACAAGUAAAAGAAGAAAUAGGCUAAUUAGAGCUAACUAUCUAGAUUAAGCGGAUUUACCCCCACUGGACGGUGAGAGCUUCGUAGUUCCAAUAAUCUUGAGGACGGUGGACAUUGAUGUCUGCGUAUACUCGAGCUCGAGACAUGGCUCUGACGAAAUUUGGAAUUUCAAGCUAGGAUUGAAGCUCCGACGAUUGAAUCCGACGAAAUUUCACCUGAUCUUUUCUCUUUCCGCUGUCCAUCGUCAUUCGUCAGCUAUGAGCCUAUGACAUAUUGGAUGGGUCCUCAUGGUUUUGGGUUAAAACGAGAAGGAGACCGAACCCUUUCGGCCAAUUCAGCUUGAGGCACUUAUAUCAAGCCUGUUGGGGAAUUUCUGAGUCGGGUCGGCUUCAAACUGGAGUUCAAAUUAAAAAUUACUCUACCCGGACCAUGUAUUAUAAAAUAAAUUUCAUAAAAACUCCCGACGACGUGUAGGUGCACUUCUCGAAAUAAACAUAAAAAUAAGUUUAGACACGGGAUUGAGCUAGAUAUUUCAUAUUAAUAAGUAUAAAAUUUCUUUUAAAUUGAAUAUACACUUGAGAUUGUAUUCGAGCUUUAUUUAUAAGUUUUUUUUUAACUCGAAGUUAUUAAAUUAUUUAAAUUACUUGAACUUGAUAUCAUUUUUUUUCUCGAAAACGAUAGAUGAUAUUUCAUAAAUAAUUGAAAUGUACAAUAUUUGAGCAACGGCUCAAGCAGCUUUACAAAGUGUAUCAUGACAUUUAAGGUGAGCCAAAAAAUCUCUCCCCAUCCAUAAGUAUGUUUAGAGCAUAAUGGCUAAUUUGAUUACAUAGAGUCAUAUUACUAUCAUUCCUAACUUCAAAAGAGCACAUUUGAAACAGAUUAGCUAAAACAUGUAUGUCUUCGAUCAUCAACGUGGCAGUGUUUGGAUUGUCUCCUUUCCCAUCUCUUAGCAAGGCAAUAAGUUGCUUGUUAGCAUUGGUGACUUUGAUUCUUUGCCAACUUUGUUGUCUUGCUUUCAUUAGUGCCAACCUUACUGCUACAGCUUCAUCUUGAAUAUCCCUUUGCGAGCUUCUAUCCACUAAAGUCCAUUCAGCUCUGAUCCUCCCUCCAGAUUGCUUGGCGACUAUGCCAAUUCCCAGUUUAUGCCCACUGCUGAUUUCUUGGUGAAGUUCCAUCAGCUCUCGUUAUCAUGCUAAAUAUAAUUUUCAUUAUUUGAAACUUACAUAUCUAAAUUAGAUAAAGAAUGUCCGUAUCCAAUUUCGAGUCCUGUCUAACCCGAUCUCAAUUAUACAUGGUGCUUGUUUUCUUAAGCAAUAAAAUUAAAAGUUAGCGUAAUAAACACAAAUACUUGAGUUAAUUGUAAUUUAGAUGCUUACUCAUUUUGCUCCGCAUAUAUCUUAUCGCUUUAGCUGUUGGCAAAAGAGAUUAUUACUUUCAUUUUCCUUCUUUGGACUUUUCUAGGGAGAAAUUUUGGUCUUUCUAAUUCUCUAUUUUGGUCAGAAAUCAUUUGGGCCUAUUUGGUCCGGUUUUAAACAAAACCUACACACACACACACUAUUGAAAACUGUGACAAGAGAGCUCUGAGAUCUCUGAAGACAUUGAUUUAAACAACUGUAAUAUCGCAUAUAACAGUCAGCUGCUACAACCCCUUUUCGGAUAAUCCCAACUCAUUUGUCAUUAGCAUCACUCCGGACUCUCUCAUACAAUCGGUACAUAAGCGUUGAUUUUGACAUCUGAGGCUCCCUUUCUAGAACAGCAAUCACAUCCUUGACUGAAAUAGUGCGAGCCACCUUGGGUUGUGCCACUACAACUUGAUUUCUUCCUACUUUUCUAACUGCACC
rnacentral:lncRNA from 1 species